UACGUAGGGGGCUAGCGUUGUCCGGAUUUAUUGGGCGUAAAGAGCGUGUAGGCGGCCAGGUAGGUCUGCUGUGAAAACUCGAGGCUCAACCUCGAGACGUCGGCGGAAACCAUCUGGCUAGAGUCCGGAAGAGGAGAGUGGAAUUCCUGGUGUAGCGGUGAAAUGCGCAGAUAUCAGGAAGAACACCCGUGGCUAAGGCGGCUCUCUGGGACGGUACUGACGCUGAGACGCGCAAGCGUGGGGAGCGAACAGG
rnacentral:rRNA from 1 species